UUAAGCGACUAAGCGUACACGGUGGAUGCCCUGGCAGUCAGAGGCGAUGAAGGACGUGCUAAUCUGCGAUAAGCGUCGGUGAGGUGAUAUGAACCGUUAUAACCGGCGAUUUCCGAAUGGGGAAACCCAGUGUGUUUCGACACACUAUCAUUAACUGAAUCCAUAGGUUAAUGAGGCGAACCGGGGGAACUGAAACAUCUAAGUACCCCGAGGAAAAGAAAUCAACCGAGAUUCCCCCAGUAGCGGCGAGCGAACGGGGAGGAGCCCAGAGCCUGAAUCAGUGUGUGUGUUAGUGGAAGCGUCUGGAAAGGCGCGCGAUACAGGGUGACAGCCCCGUACACAAAAAUGCACAUAUUGUGAGCUCGAUGAGUAGGGCGGGACACGUGGUAUCCUGUCUGAAUAUGGGGGGACCAUCCUCCAAGGCUAAAUACUCCUGACUGACCGAUAGUGAACCAGUACCGUGAGGGAAAGGCGAAAAGAACCCCGGCGAGGGGAGUGAAAAAGAACCUGAAACCGUGUACGUACAAGCAGUGGGAGCCUCUUUAUGGGGUGACUGCGUACCUUUUGUAUAAUGGGUCAGCGACUUAUAUUCUGUAGCAAGGUUAACCGAAUAGGGGAGCCGAAGGGAAACCGAGUCUUAACUGGGCGUUAAGUUGCAGGGUAUAGACCCGAAACCCGGUGAUCUAGCCAUGGGCAGGUUGAAGGUUGGGUAACACUAACUGGAGGACCGAACCGACUAAUGUUGAAAAAUUAGCGGAUGACUUGUGGCUGGGGGUGAAAGGCCAAUCAAACCGGGAGAUAGCUGGUUCUCCCCGAAAGCUAUUUAGGUAGCGCCUCGUGAAUUCAUCUCCGGGGGUAGAGCACUGUUUCGGCAAGGGGGUCAUCCCGACUUACCAACCCGAUGCAAACUGCGAAUACCGGAGAAUGUUAUCACGGGAGACACACGGCGGGUGCUAACGUCCGUCGUGAAGAGGGAAACAACCCAGACCGCCAGCUAAGGUCCCAAAGUCAUGGUUAAGUGGGAAACGAUGUGGGAAGGCCCAGACAGCCAGGAUGUUGGCUUAGAAGCAGCCAUCAUUUAAAGAAAGCGUAAUAGCUCACUGGUCGAGUCGGCCUGCGCGGAAGAUGUAACGGGGCUAAACCAUGCACCGAAGCUGCGGCAGCGACACUAUGUGUUGUUGGGUAGGGGAGCGUUCUGUAAGCCUGCGAAGGUGUACUGUGAGGUAUGCUGGAGGUAUCAGAAGUGCGAAUGCUGACAUAAGUAACGAUAAAGCGGGUGAAAAGCCCGCUCGCCGGAAGACCAAGGGUUCCUGUCCAACGUUAAUCGGGGCAGGGUGAGUCGACCCCUAAGGCGAGGCCGAAAGGCGUAGUCGAUGGGAAACAGGUUAAUAUUCCUGUACUUGGUGUUACUGCGAAGGGGGGACGGAGAAGGCUAUGUUGGCCGGGCGACGGUUGUCCCGGUUUAAGCGUGUAGGCUGGUUUUCCAGGCAAAUCCGGAAAACCAAGGCUGAGGCGUGAUGACGAGGCACUACGGUGCUGAAGCGACAAAUGCCCUGCUUCCAGGAAAAGCCUCUAAGCAUCAGGUAACAUCAAAUCGUACCCCAAACCGACACAGGUGGUCAGGUAGAGAAUACCAAGGCGCUUGAGAGAACUCGGGUGAAGGAACUAGGCAAAAUGGUGCCGUAACUUCGGGAGAAGGCACGCUGAUAUGUAGGUGAAGCGACUUGCUCGUGGAGCUGAAAUCAGUCGAAGAUACCAGCUGGCUGCAACUGUUUAUUAAAAACACAGCACUGUGCAAACACGAAAGUGGACGUAUACGGUGUGACGCCUGCCCGGUGCCGGAAGGUUAAUUGAUGGGGUUAGCGGUAACGCGAAGCUCUUGAUCGAAGCCCCGGUAAACGGCGGCCGUAACUAUAACGGUCCUAAGGUAGCGAAAUUCCUUGUCGGGU
rnacentral:rRNA from 1 species